UCUUCUUUCCGCAUGUUUAUGGGCGGCAUACUAGCUAGUACUUCAGCUGCUUCGCUGCCAUGCCUCUACCAGCAAAUAUUUGGGAACACCUGUCAAUGGGUAUGUUCAGUCCUUCGUCCCAAAACCUUAGUCCUUUUUUUAAUGGUUGGCAAUGCCGUAACCAAAGGCAAUAGGAAGAAGGAAAAACGAAAAAAGGAGAAACAGCUGAUCGAGAAAAACAAAACGGCAAAUUAAAAUAAAGCGCACAUUUUGAUCCGCUGUUAUAAGGGGAAAAAUAUAAUUUAAAUUUUAUUUUAUGCAAUUUGCCACGAAAAGAAACAAGAACUACAAAGAUCUACCGUCUACCUCACUCAAACACUAAUAUGCAACCCGAAAGCGAUCGCGCCCGUGCUGAACAAAUGCCAAACCCAUCAAAUGACGAAGUUAUCCUCUAUGGCACUCCAAAUGCAGCACUAGAGGAAAGAGUGUUCAAAAAUAUGAGAGAUGCUGCUCAGUGGCCGCAUAUUCAGAAGGACGCAAAUCGAAAAAGAGUUUCAAAAUUAAUGCAGUUGCCACCAAGAAACACAAACAAGUCGAUUCAAAGAGAUUUCCGCAAAAAGUUGUCACCUCGAGGACACUUCUGAUUUUAAAAAUUAU